rnacentral:rRNA from 1 species
GACGAACGCUGGCGGCGUGCUUAAUACAUGCAAGUCGAACGGACAGGCGCUGCUUUUGUGGCGUGCUCGAGUGGCGCACGGGUGUGUAACACGUGAGUAUCCUGCCCCUGUCUUUGGGAUAACUUCAGGAAAAUCGGGCUCAUAUCGGAUAGGAGAUCUUGCUGCAUGGUGGGGGUUGGUAAGUUUCGGCGGUUGGGGAUCGUAUGGCGGGUUAUCCGCUUGUUGGUGAGGUUGUGGAUUUCCAAGGUUUUGACGGGUAGCCGGCCUGAGAGGGUGACCGGCGACAUUGGGACUGAGAUACGGCCCAGACUCCUACGGGAGGCAGCAGGGGAGAGUAUGGCACAAUGGGCGGAAGCCUGAUGCAGCAACGCCGGGUGCGGGAUGACGGCCUUCGGGUGGUGAACCACUUUCGCCUGUGACGAAGCGGUAGUGACGGUAAUGAGUAAAGAAGCACCGGCUAACUACGUG